ACAACAACAACUCCAUAGAAUGCGAGCACUGUCAGAGAUGGCAGCACUUCGACUGUAGCGGCUUCACCAGAGGAGAAUUUGAUAUAGCAUAUACCUAAAAAUUGUCUGCUCAUCAUCAUUUUUACUACAAACAAUCCACAUACAUAUACUGAAAUAGUUAUGACUAUAAAUGCACUGAUUUAUAUGCAAGUCUAAUAAAAGAUCCAAGUGUUUCAGAAAUGUUACAGUGGUUUUACUGUAAAGUGAACGUGCAACAAACAAUCUGUUGUGACCACAGGAUCUGGAAUGUAGUUAGAAAUAUAUUUUAUGUCACAUUAUCAGGCAGGGCAGUUUUAAAUAUUCCUCUUCCCUCAAAUGUUCAAUAAAUAAAUAAUCUACAGCAUAAAAUUAUUAAAAAAGUGAUAUAUUUCAGGAAUAAAAGUGGCUCGCCGACAAUCCUUUAUGUACCAGCCAUACUUCAAGAAACGUAUCUCAUAUUUACGACUCACAGACCAACCUAAAAUCUCAAGAGCAAGAUAUCGUCCCUUGCUAAGUAACACCAUUCCUGCGUGUUUGAACCCAGAGAUGGUGGGGCCGCUUCGUCCUCUGCAGCUGGGGGAGGAAAUCACUUCAGCUGAAGGCCUCCUUGAUCGGAGUGGCGGGUCGUGCCCUUCUUGAAUUAUACCCUGGCAUUUGCCAUACAACUCAUUUCAUCAAUUGCAGGUCUGUUGUACUGAUGCUCAUCUGCACCAAGAUGACCCAAAAGCCAUACAUUGACUGUGUGUGAAGUAUCCCUAUUAGUCUUAAAGCUCCACCAGCACUUUAGUAUAUGGGUUCACUCAAUAUGAGACCUUCCACAGCAUUUCAUGUUAAAGAGACUCAUUUUCAGGCCUUUCAUUGUUUAAUAUAAUUAGCAACUGAAUGAUAACGCUGUUCAUAAGAUGGUAAAUGGUGAUCUACAGCAAUUAAAUUGGAAAUAUACAUAUAUUUGGUGAUGAGUCUUAAAAGCAAUAUGGUUUAGUGCCAGGAACUUGCUAUUGGUUUGCUGAGAAUGAUGUGAAUGCCACUCAGGUUCAUUAUUACAAAACACUAACUUCAAGCCUGAAUAUGCAAUUCUACUCAUUAUCUGACUCAUUCAUAGCUGUAAUUAAUGUACUGAUCAUUCCACACUUCACUUUUGAAACAGAGAUUAUUGUGAACACUUUGGUGUCACACUGGUACAACCUGAAUUAAAAAUAAACUGUUAAAUGAUGGGAAUAUUUCAGAUACACUACUUAUAUGAUUCAACUGGCACCAGAAAGUAUUUCUAUACUCACUUGCAUUGUCCAAUUGCCUAUUGCAAAUCAAAUGAUCUCUGGGCUUAAAAUAAAAUAAGGUGAAGGAA